AAUUGCAUAUAAAUUUUAGUGUAUCAAUGUAAGAAUGCAUCAAAACUUACAUCGGUAGAAACCUAUUGUAUUUACACUGUUAAGAUACUACUGCUAAUUGUACUCUUACUGACAUUCCUUUUCCAAAAAUGCAGAUUGGGAGCACGACAAGAACAAUAACAAAAGAUGAUCUACUAUCAAUGUCACAGGAAGAUAUCAUCCUAAAUGUGAGUACCAAAAUCAGUAGCAAAACACUUGCAUGAGAAUGAUCAGUACAUGAAAAAGAAAAACUCACACACAAAUACAUUGCAAGAGUCAUUUUCAUUUACUGCGUUCCUACAGUCAGGCAUUAUAUACAAGGUAAGAAACUAACCCCCAUAAGUCUCAGCUGAAGACGAUUUGAUUACUUAGCUUCCCCAUUUGCAAUUCAUUAAAAACUAUUUUUAGUAUUACUAUUAUUUCAGUAUUACUAUUACAUCAAGAAUUCUGGUUUAAAAACAUGUCGCAUACAGGUACAUUCGGCUAAUGGUACAACACAACUGAGAGUGGAGGAGUCCGGUAACAAAACACAAAACAGCAAACAACCCAUCAGUACAUUCUACAGUAAGACUAAUGAAAUGGAGAAAAAUUCAUGAAUACACAAAAGUAAGAGAGAAAUUUACAACUUUAGUAUUCUUGUGCAGACAUUUGAAGAACUGGAAAACGAAGCUACACGAAAUGAAGAAGGUGCAGAAGAGCAUAACCCGUGGCAUGCAGACCUGUUUGGCACCAUGAACUUGGAACAAGUGGGUACAUGAAGACAAAAUUUCAGUAAGAUACAUAUCAUAAAAGUUGAAAACUAGUAAGAAAAUUAUGAAUGAGGCGAAAUGCUAAAAAAUGCAGGUAACUGAGGAUGACCCUAGUUCAGCAGCAACACAAGCACACAACACUUGCCAGAAUAAUGAAGAAAGAGAAAGGCCAAAAACAGACCACUCACAUGAACAAGAUGACAACGAAUACCUUGACGAAGAAGACACUGAAAGAUUCCUGCAAAAUGAACAAGAGGCUGCAUCAGAAGGCAAUUUGAUGAACACUAGCAGCAACUUCAAGCCACACCUAGGCAUGCAAUUCAAAACAAAGGAAGAAGGCCAGGAAUAUAUCAACUUCUACUCCAAAAUCGCUGGAUUCUCAGUGGCAGCACUAGCAGCAUCAAGAACAACAAGCAAAAAGAGGAACAAUGAGGUGACCAGAAUAACUAUGAAGUGCAACAAGUGGGGAAUUAAUGAAAAUAAAUAAAAAGAAGCCAAAAUUCAGGAAUUACAUAACUGAAAUCAAUGUAAAUACACUGCAAAAAUGGGGGAAUAUACACUGUAGAUACAAUGUAAACCAUCAUAAUUCUAGGGGAAAUUACACUAGAAUCAGGGGCCAUAUAAAUGUGUCAGGGAUUACAUAGCUAAAAACAUUAAAAAUACACAGUAACUCGUGUAAAUUACACUGGAACUAAGGACAAAUUACAUUGAAACUACAUGAUGAAUUACACAAUAGUUAUUGGGAAAAAUAAAUACAGAUUAAUUCCAUUGAAGCUACAAGAUGAAUUACACAGUAAUUCUUGGGCAAAUUACACAGUAACACUACAACAUGAGUUACACAGUAAGUCUAUAUUGAAUUACACCCGACAACUACAAAGAUGAAUUACAACUACAAAGAUGAAUUACACAGUAAAUUCUAUAUUGAAUUACACUGAAACUGCAUGAUGAAAUUACACAGUAAAUUCUAUAUUGAAUUACACUGAAACUGCAGGAUGAAUUACACAGUAAUUCUAUAUUGAAUUACACUGACAACUACAAAGAUACAUAGUAAUUCUAUAGUAAAAUUACACUGAAACUACAUGAUGAGUUACACAGUAAAUUACACUGAAACUACAUGAUGAAUUACACAGUAAAAAUGUGGCAAAAUACACAGUAAAAACUACUAAUUCUAGAGAGAGAGAAACACUGAAACUAUAGGCUGAAUUACAUAGUAACUACCGUGCAAUUUGCAUAGUAUAUUACAUUGAAACUAUGGGGAUUACACAGUAAGUCUGACACAAAAAAUACACAAUAAAAUUCUAGUAAUUCUAGAGUGAAAAAACAUUGAAACUAUGGGCUGUAUGGGCUGAAUUACAUAGUAACUACAAUGCAAUUUGCAUGGUAUAUUACACUGAAACUGAGGGGAUUAGCAAGUAAGACUCAGGCAAAAAAUACACAGUAAUUCUAAUGUAUGCCACUGAAACUCUAGGGUUACACAUCAACACUCGGCACAACCAAAAGAUACAAACCUGCAUCAGAUACACAGUUACCAGGGGCAUUGCAGAAAGCUUAAAAAGAAUACAUUGCAGAAGCACAUAAAAAACACCCCCAGGCAACUAGGAGGAACCUAAGUACAUCUAAACUACGAGGAACAUAUGCACUUGCAGGACAAAAGGGGACCUGCAACAGAGGGCAUAGGAGGAACCUAACUACAUAUAAACCUACCGAAAUCCAAACAUAUACAGACCCUAGAACCAACACGGCCAGAGGAGGGCAAACACCCAUCUGCCAGCAAUCAAGCGAACCACCUACCAACACAAAACUGAUCCAUACAUCUAUCUGAAUCACAAACUAGUCACGCAUGAACCUACCACGAGCAGAGGAAGAACUCAAUGGCGGACAACACGAAGCAGACAAGGAACUAUGGCGGGACAACGUGAACCAUAACGAACCACAAAAACUACAAGCACCUACCAUGAAUCUACAGCACCACGGCCCUGGAACACAACACACACCUACCACGAACCCUAACAAAAUCACAUCAGCAAACUGACCUCCUAGAUCUGGAACCUAUACACCGAGAAAUGAACAAAAAACAUGCGCUCGCGAGAGAAAAUGAGAGACCAACCAACCGCAGGAGGCGAGAAUCAAAGAGAAAUUGGAAAGGAAUCAAGCUCCACGGGUGGGGGAUUUGAGAAUCGACAUGAACAGAAAGGAAUCGCCUCCGCCGCCCGAGCGCGUGUUCCUCUCUCUGCCUCGCUAUCUCCUCUCUCCCUUGUCGCUAUAGUACCGCUCAAAUGAAAAGGGAAAACCACGCCCAGAAUUCAAAUAGGACAAAAACCG
rnacentral:lncRNA from 1 species